rnacentral:rRNA from 1 species
UACGUAGGUGGCAAGCGUUAUCCGGAAUUACUGGGCGUAAAGCGUGCGCAGGCGGUUUGCUAAGACAGGUGUGAAAUCCCAUGGCUCAACCAUGGAACUGCAUCUCAUACUGCCGAGCUAGAGUCUGGGAGAGGGAAGCGGAAUUCCCGGUGUAGCGGUGAAAUGCGUAGAUAUCGGAGGAACACCAGUGGCGAAGGCGGCUUCCUGGACCAGCACUGACGCUGAUGCGCGAAAGCUAGGGAGCAACAGG